rnacentral:lncRNA from 1 species
ACAUGUCGCUCAAACAGUUUGCCCAGCAGCAAUUAAGAGAGAAGACAGCAAGGCAUACAAAUGAUCUGCAAACAUUAUUGAGCACCUACUAUGUGCCAACUAUUGUUUUAGGCUCUGGGGACAUAAGAAUGAAUAACCCUGAGAAGGUGGCCAUAGUAAUGUUUGUGCCAUAUCACGCUAUCUUGUGGUUUAUUUUAUGUUUCUGCUAUGCUAGAUAGGGAGGGGAGCGGGAAGACAGAGCUAUGUCUUGAUUAUCUUGGUAUCUGCAGUAUGUAGUCCAGCUCAACAGGCAUUUGUUGAAUGACUGAAUGACUAUUUACAGAGGGCACACUAUGGGCCAGGAACCUGUCUGGGGUCUUAGAUAUGGCCAUGAACAAGAUGGAUGCAGCCCUUGCCUUCUUGGAGCUCAUAUUUGGCAGGGGGUCGCCAAGAUAUAUGCUGCACAGUACAUGAUGAGCACAAGGAGUGUUUCCUAGAGAAAGUACUGGAUGUUUUGCCUCAACAGUCCACAUCAGUGUGCAGGUAAUUAGCAUUACUCGGGGCACUGAAGGAAGGGUUGUCACAAUGACAACAAAGCAGUACCCAUUGAGAGGCAGGAGGGCGUGGUCUGAACUCCAGCUUGGCCAAUGGCCACUGUUGGAACUUGGGUGAGUUAUCUCUCUAAACCUCAGUUUCCCUUCUAGAAAAUAGAAAUGAUACUACUUAACUCUCAAGUUACUGGCCAUAGGCAGAAUUCUUUUGAUCUCUGUCCCCUGGUGUUACACCCUGUAGAAUCUCCUAGCUUUGAGUGUGGCUAGGACCAUCUAUCUGUCUAUCAAUCAUCUAUCCAUCCAUUCAUCCAUCUAUCCAUCCAGCCAUCUCUAUCUAUUUAGAUAAAUAUAUGUAUGUAUUUAUUCAUUCUAUAAUCUAUCUAUAUUUAUCUAUCUAGAUAUGUAUGUGUCUAUCAAUUUAUCAUUAUCUAUUUAUAUCUAUCAUCUAUCUCUACAUGUAAAUAUAUCUAGAUCUAUCUGUAUCUAUAUCUAUUAAUAUGUCUGUCUGUCUAUCUAUUUACCUUUCUAUCAUCUAUGACUCCCUCUUGCUUGUAUACCCUAGCAAGAUUCUCCUUGCUGGUGCCAUGAAGUCCGCGGCCAUGUUGAGGAAGCCCUGAGGGCAAAGAACCAUGGGAAGCUUCUAGAAUCUGAGGGUGGCCUCUGGGUGACAGUCAACAAAAUGCCAGGGACCUGCUCAGAUAGCCACAAGGAAAUGAAUUCUGACCACAACCUGAGGGAGCAUAGCAGUGGGUUGUUCCCCAGUAGAGCCUCCAGAUGAGAACACAGCCUAGCCAAUGUCACAAGGAUUGCAGCCUUGUGAGACUCGGAGCAGAGGACCCAUUUAAGCAUUCCUGGACUCCUGGACCUAAACUGAGAAAUAAUAAAUGUAUAUUGCUGGAGGCCACCAAGUGUGUAGUGAUUCAUUACAUUGCAAUGGAUAUCUAGUAGAUUGCUACUAUGUGCCUGACACAUAGUAGGUUCUGAAAGUAGAGGUGAAGGAAAGCAGAAGAAGACUUAAGCCAUCCUACCCUCCUCUUGUCCUCUCCUCAAACCCCAACAGAAGCUGGCAUUCCAAGAGGCUCCGGGCCUUCUACAAUGUCAGCCUUGCUAAGGUGCCUGGCUUGGAAUGA